GCCUAGUUAGCUUAGUUGGUAGCGCGUCUGCCUUGUAAGCGCUAGGCCGCGGGUUUGAUUCCCGCCCGGGCC
rnacentral:tRNA from 1 species